rnacentral:rRNA from 1 species
AGUGAACGCUGGCGGUAGGCCUAACACAUGCAAGUCGAACGGCAGCACAGUAAGAGCUUGCUCUUACGGGAGGCGCGUGGCGGACGGGUGAGGAAUACAUCGGAAUCUACUUUUUCGUGGGGGAUAACGUAGGGAAACUUACGCUAAUACCGCAUACGUCCUACGGGUGAAAGCAGGGGAUCUUCGGACUUUGUGCGGUUGAAUGAGCCGAUGUCGGCGAAGAUAGUUGGCGGGGUAAAGGCCCACCACGGCGACGAUCCGUAGCUGGUCUGAGAGGAUGGAUAGAUAGACUGGAAGUGAGAAACGGCCGAGACUCCGACGGGAGGCAGCAGUGGGGAAUAUUGGACGAGGGGGGAGAGCCUGAUCCAAGCAUACCGCGUCAGUGAAGAAGGCGUUCGGGUUGUAAAGCCCUGUUGUUGGGAAAGAAAAGCAGCAGGUUCAUACCCCGCUGUUCUGACGGUACCAAAAGAAUAAGCACCGGCUAACUUCGUG